CACAUCUCUAAUGUAAACAACCCAGCAAGGGAAGUAGUACCCUAUAUGUGGGGGAAAAGUGGUUCAGAGAGGUUAAGUAACUCACCCAAAGUCACACAGCUGAAGAAAAUGGCUGGGCUAGGAUGUGCGUUCAUGCUCUUUCCACCAUGCCAUGUUGCUUUACUGAGAUGACACAGGGCACAAAGUAAGUGCAAACACAGACCUGUUCAUUUUCCAUUCAGGAAGCCCAUUUGCCACGACCAAUGCAACUCCAACCUACCAGGCUGACUGUAGAAUGGGUUUUCCUCAUGGGCAACACAUACACACAUGCAUGCAUGCGCGUGCAUGCGUGCACACACACACACACACACACACACACACACAAAACCAAAUCACUGUGCAUUGGACAAGGGGAAAAAAAAGCUGCCACUGGAAGAUGAAGGAAAUCACAAUUCCAAACUCCCCAAGUUCCUAAAUGCAUAAAGUACGUGCAGCUUGACGGCAUAUGGCAAAUCAAUUACUAGUUUAAAUCUUAAAACAAAAACAUGGCAAGUGUGGUGCAGAAAUAAUCAAGAACAACGGUUAGGUUUAGAUUACAGUGGGCCACUAGAGUUUUGAAUACAAUUAAUCAUCAUUCCAGGCAAUGGGAAGCCAUAUUGACACUUAUUCCUAAUUUGAAUAUUUAAUUAGGGUGAAGUUCUUCAUCAAAUUAUCGCAGAACUGGGAGAAAGCCUGGAAGACUUACACAAUUACUAUCUUAACCCCUUCCCAGCUGCUCACCUGUGAACACAGCCAUUCUAGUCCCAGCUCCGCAGGGGAGGUUGCCUGUGCCCAGUCUCUGAUGCUGUGGGGUGCUGGAGGGGUGCUGGUGACUGGAGUUGCAACUGCAGCAGGCGGGAGCCACGUGGUGGCAAAGGAAAGGUCUAAGGGGAUGCCCUGCUCAUGCUUAGGCUAAGUUCUGCAUUGAACCCUGGACACAGACAGAAAGCCAGCAUGCAUGGGUGCUCACUGGGCACCAGGGUGGUGCUUUCUGUGUCCCCCCCCAAUUUAAUUCUCAUGACAAAUCCUGCAAAGGAGGCAUUUCUAUCCCCAUUUCACAGAGGAAGAAACAGGCUCAGAGAGUGAUAAAACUCACUCAAAGUAACACCGCCUGUGAGUGGUGUAAAGAAGGCCCAAGGGACACACACACACACACACACACACACACACACACACACACACACACAGAGUUACUCACCAAAAGUGAUGACAAAGAGAACACGCAAAGGCCCACAAAAAUGUUUUCAAGGCUGUAUUUUGGAUCAUCUGCACCGUGUGGCUAAAUCAAAGGAAAACCAAAACCCAGGCCUCUUCAAUCAGCAUUCUAAAAUUUAACUCUUGGGUUCAAAAUGCAUUACUGAGCCCCCCCCCACAAUGGAAGUCACGAUGCCGUUGUGGCCAGGGGCUCAGCAGAAUGGUGGAGGUGGGGGCAGCAAAGCUCAAGGAACAGUCCCACAAGGCCGAUUUGAGGCAAGGUGACAAGGUGGCCAUCCAAACCCCGCAGAGUAGGACUCGAGAAGGUGGGCGCUGCGGGACAGGUGUCCUUGGGGAGGGGAAUGUUUGCAACAGGACAAAAAAAUGUGAACUCUUUCUUCUUUCAAGAUGGCCAAGGCUCAAUGAUAGCAUUUAGAACUAUACAUCAGCUUGGUGAUUACGUUCCUUAAUGUACGCCUUUGCUAUCUGAAAAGACUUUUACUAACAUUUCAUAGAUACUAUGUGAUUCUACGUGACCAAAAACAACACAUUUUGCCACAUAAUCUCCCCGAAGGACUCAGGACACGGCCAAGGGCUGAGUGCACACAUGGGACUGGACCACGGUAGGUCCAGAGACCUUUCUGCUUCCAGCCUCCACCGAGAAGCCGAAAAGGAGGGACAUCCUGAUAGUUUCAGGUUAGCCAUCUCUCCUUAAAAGCCUGUGACGGGUUCACUUACCCUCUUGUGGAAAAGGCUCCAUUUGCAGUGGCCACUUUCAGCAGGAAGUGGAUCGCCAGGCAGAAGGAGGGAGCCGCCCCAGCCCCCUGCCUGGGCCCACUGCAGGCACAGACCCCGGAUCCGGAUCCAUCAGGCCUGCGUGGGGGGAGCGAAUGGCAUCGGGAACUUUGAAACUUUCCUUUGUAUAUUACAUUAAUCCAUAUAAGAAAAUCUCUUUUAAUGAGGAGUGAUGUAGUUACAAACUCUCCAGAGCCAUAAUUAGAGCAAACUAAUUGAAGUUGUGUUUUGACACACUUUCCAAAUUCACGGGUGCCGGAUGACAUAUUCACAACACUGCUGCCGCACAACCAUGGCGACGGCAAAAUCAUUAGGCUAAUAACGCUUAUUUGCAUUCUUAUCAUGCCGGCAGCUCGCCCUUAAAUACUGUUUCCACUACUGCUCCUUUACUGUAAGUUUCCACCGAAAGAUAUUAACAGUAAUUAUUAGUACUUUAGUGGAAUUUUAAUGUUAAAGAAUAACAAUGUGCAUUAACAUACAUUGAAUGGCAAUUCUUUUUCUUAACCACCCAUCGGAAGGUUUGGGGGUUCUUCCUUGGCCCUCUCCCCAGAGCUCAAGGGUAACCAGAUGCGAUUUCAGCUUCAUUUACAAUUCAGGGUCCACACCCAGUGGGAUCUGAAGUCAGGUUUCUGAACCAUUCUGCUCCAAAAGUUUGAUGAGAAAAAUCUUUCUUUCUUUUUUUUAAGUACAAUAAAAUGAAAUAGUUAAGGAGAAAUUUUUUCC
rnacentral:lncRNA from 10 species